rnacentral:rRNA from 1 species
GACGAACGCUGGCGGCGUGCUUAACACAUGCAAGUCGAACGGUAAGGCCCUUCGGGGUACACGAGUGGCGAACGGGUGAGUAACACGUGGGUGAUCUGCCCUGCACUUCGGGAUAAGCCUGGGAAACUGGGUCUAAUACCGGAUAGGACUCCUGGCUUCAUGGUUGGGGGUGGAAAGCUUUUGCGGUGUGGGAUGGGCCCGCGGCCUAUCAGCUUGUUGGUGGGGUAAUGGCCUACCAAGGCGACGACGGGUAGCCGGCCUGAGAGGGUGACCGGUCACACUGGGACUGAGAUACUGCCCAGACUCCUACGGGAGGCAGCAGUGGGGAAUAUUGCACAAUGGGCGCAAGGCUGAUGCAGCGACGCCGCGUGAGGGAUGACGGCCUUCGGGUUGUAAACCUCUUUCAGCUAUGACGAAGCGCAAGUGACGGUAGUAGCAGAAGAAGGACCGGCCAACUACGUGCCAGCCGCCGCAGUAA